UGAGAUGAAAUACACAUUUAGUGUCACUUCUUUUAAGCUUCCUGGCUGGUUUGUUUACAAGUAGUAGCUUUUUACACAGUGUUAAAGCUAACAUAUAUCUCAAUAUAUAAAGCUACUUAUAACUGCCAAAACGUAAAAUUAGUGCAAUAAUGAAAGAGCAGCCCAUAAAAUAAAGAUUGUUCCUUUUAGCAUACUGUAACGUUUCCCCUGUCAUCUAACCUCAUUCACCGGACUACAUUACCCAUCAUGCUUUGCACCCCGUCAUCCACCAUGUUUGUUUCCCGUCUUCACCUGUCUGUUCACUCUAUUUAUACUCAUUACCACUGUCUUCACUCAGUGUCGGUUAUCGUCUUUACUACGUUGUAUCUUAUCAGAACCAAAUGUGGGACCGCGGAUGCGACUCGAGCUACAGUACUGGGACGUGUUAUUAUGACGUAACAACAGUGACAGUCGUGUGAGACACAGUGGAGCCCGUCUCGCUAAACACCAGCAAAGACCCUGGAGGCUGAAAUCUUGUUGCGCCUGAAGCUUUCUAAAUCCCACUGGUCAUGCAGGUCAUCAGAACAAAGUGGUAUGUAGCUAUAACUUUUAAUUAUUUUUUAUAUAUCUAAUAUUGUGUUGGUCCCCCUUUUGCUGCUAAAACAGUUCUGACUCGUUAAGCAUUAACAGCAUUAACUUCUUCAGCAGUUUGAGCUAGAGUAGCAUGCCUUUGCCCCCCACAUGUAUGAGUGAGCCUCCACCACUUGGACCACUUUUGAAAGAUACUGACCACUGCAGACCAGGAACAUCCCACAGGAUCUGCAGUUUUGGAGAUGCUCAGACCCAGUCUUCUAGCCAUCACACGUCAUUUGGCCCUCGUCAAAUCCUUACACUUGCCCAUUUUUCCGGCUUUUAACACAUCAACUUUGAGGACAAAAUGUUUACUUGCUGCCUAAUAUAUCACACACACUCACAGGUGCCAUGACGAAGAGAUAAUCAGUGUUAUUCACUCACCGGUCAUAAUGUCAUGCUGUAUGUAUGUAUUAACAUAAAGGGGGAAAAACUUCCCCAGUGCACGAUAAAAAGUUCAGGUCAGGUUCCAUAUUUGGAAAAAUCAGUGUGUGCGCUAAACUAGGUCUGUAUUUAUAAACACACAGAGGUGUAGGCACCCGGGUUUUUGUGACUCAGAGUGUUAUGCAGUGGGGUGGUGUACAGACGUACAGCAGCUGACCUACUUAGUGAAUCUGCAUUAAUAAAAAACCGGAGUCAAAUUUCAGAAAGCCAACUUUGGUUUGCAAUACAAGACACGGGUAGAGACAUUCUAAUAAGUCCGUAUUGAUUCCUGUCUGAAGUAGAAGAUAACGCAUUUCUAAAUAUACUGUAGCUACAAAGCCUUUAGGGCAUACAGGAUGUUUUGAAAGUGUAUAAGAGCCCUUUGUUUCAGUGACAGACGAGUGCGCAGUGUUGCCGAAAUCUAUUUUGAAUAAUAAUUACUGAAAAUUAAGAAACAUUAGCAGCUUCUGUUGUUUAUGUAUGUCACCCACACCCAAGGUAAAUAACCACACAGUGAGACGUCUUUCACCAGUGUAAGCGAAGGUGUCGGUUUGGUGGUUUCACUGCUUGGUAAACGUGUUUGCUUUUCUGUCACACAGAAGACUUUCCUGUCUUGGUGAAGCAGAGGAAAAAACAAAGUGUAUGUGUGCGCCUGUGUGUGUCUAACCACAGCCGGGUAGGCGGGAAAAAAAAGAUGUUUAUGUGUUACAAACCAAAAUCUACCCCAUUGCACUACAGCUUUCCUACCAACUCUUCGAUUUCUAUUAAUAUUCUCUUGUAUUACAAAAACUAACAUUAUAAAUAUAGCAAGACCAAGUCCACCUGACACAUGCUUGUGCUGUUAUCUAAUACUAUAAAUAAAAAUAUAAACCAUGAAGCAGCAUAAAAAAAUAACUGGCAUAAACAUAUGCUGCCCUACAAGUAAGAUAAAGCCUGUCUCAUUGCUCAUUUUUAUCCUAGCCUUUGUACUUAAUGGCAAAUAAAAGUCUUUUCUUCAAUCAUUCAAUUUCUCUUUGUUCUGAGUCAGAACAGACCCAAAGUCUGUCCCUGGAAAACUGGGAACAAGGCAAGACCUGAAUGGGAUGCUAUUAUAUCACAGGAGACGUUCACACACUCAUUCACACAUUUAUUCAAAUUCAAAUUCACACCUAAGUGCAAUUUAGCCAAGCCAAUCCUGUCUCCAGCAUGUAUUUAAGAGGUGGGAGACACCAAACCACUAAAAGAAACCCACACGAUCACAAGAAGAGUGUGUUCUUUUUCUAUAUGCACUCCAAAGUGGGUGUAAAGAAAAUACGCUUCCACCUUUACUAAACCGGCAAGAUGGAACUGGAAAAUUCCUAUACGUCUUACAUUUAUGGCAGACACCCCCUUAUCCAGAGCAGCUUACAAAUGAGCAGUUGAAGAUUAAGGGCCUUGCUUAAGGGCCCAGCAGAGGUAGCUUGUUGGUGCUGGGAUUUGAACCCUUUUGAUCCAAAGUCCAACCACUCAGCAACCACCUUCACCAUAGAUAAAAUAUAAGAUAUCACCAUGAGGGUGCUAGGAUCUGAACUCAUAACCUUCUAGUCAGAAGCCCAACAUGUUAACCACUGAGCUAUUACUUCCCAGAGAAGAAGAAAGAAUAGCUUCAUCAUCGUCAUUGAGUAAAUGCUUUAUGUGGUUCAGGAUUUUGAUCUUUUACCGUUGCACUUAUCAGAAACCUCUUAUCCAGAAUGACUUGCAAUAAUCUAAGACUUUGAGGGUUAAGGGCCUUGCUCAAGGGCCCUCAAUGUUUUCUUUCUGCAUCAUUUGUAACUCUCUUUGUAACACAGAGAUGUGAAAGUCUGUGAAUCACCUGUCAAGUGGUUUCUGGUAUUCCAAAGCAAAUUCCGUACAGGACUGGGGAAAAACUGUUUCAAAUUCCAGUUAUUUAACUACCACAUAAUGUGGCUUGUCCAUGUUAAAGAUGAGUUUUUAUCUGUUUUUACAAAAGAAAAAAGAUUUAAAACUAAUUAGUUGACUAGAUAAGGUGCAUUUGA